UAAACACCCGAUUCGCACUUGUAAUUCCCGCCACCACAAUGCUUACAUUUGCAUUUUUGAACACCAUUUUCGUCCUUAUACCUUUCAAAUUCUUUCCAAACUUUCGAUCUUGGGUUGAAUUCCUUAGUUUUUUUUUAUUUUUCUUGUGGAACUUGAUCAUUGGUUGGGUUGUCAACUUUAAUCGUCUCAUCUUCUACUUCAAUAUAGUCAUUCGUUGUUGACAUCUAAAACAAGAAAAAAAAAACAUAUUAGCAAAUAGCAGUAAACAAUAUAAUAGAAAUGUGAACAACAAACAUAUUAUCUUAUUUUUAAAUAAUGUGUUUUAAGCAUAAUUUUUAAAAAAAUCUAGUUUGAAAAUAUAAAUUCAAACUCUUUAUGAAUUUUGAAUAUAAAUUUCUAACAUAAUGUUUGAUGGGUUUAUAGGUACGUGACAUUAGAUGUAAUCCGUGGCAAAAAAUUGUAUUAUUAUUAUGUGCUUUCAGAAAGAGAUCCUUCUAAGGAUCCAAUAGUUCUUUGGCUCAAUGGUGGUCCUGGUUGCUCCAGUUUUGAUGGGUUUGUUUAUGAACAUGGUAUAUACUUCACUUUUUUUCACUGUUUCAUUAGAAUCACGUGCCUGUCUUGAUUUAUUUUCACAUAAAUUUCCUUGUUAUUAUUUAGUACAAAUAGCAGUUUUUGGAAGGUUAAAUUCCCAUGAAAUCUUGAAUUGACAAUCCACUUGUUUCAUAAUCAUAAUUCAGGUAACAACAUUGUAAAGAUAAAGAAUAUGUUGAUACCAUGUCAUUUUGUAAUCAGAAUAUUUCAAUAGUCUUUUUAUAUUUUGGGACCACAGAUUGCCAUUCUUAAACUGUGUAUGUAAUUGUAAAUGCAAUGCAUGAUAUGUACUCUUGAUACUACUAAUUCCAUCGAGUAAUCAUAAGUCAUAACCAUGGGUGUAUUAGGUAUUAACAAAUGAGUGGUUCUUGUCUUGCUUAAUCAAUCUAACAUAUAUGUUGUGUUGUAGGUCCUUUUAAUUUUGAGAAAGAUAAAACUGGAGGCUUGCCAAAGCUUCAUCUCAAUCCAUAUGCAUGGAACAAGGUUUAUAUAUACCAAUAUUUUCAACAGCAUCAAAACUAAUUUGAUAAUGGGGUUAAAUACCAGAAUUUUUUUUCCCUUGAUAAUGUUACUAAUUACAUUAUAAUCAGGAAGUUACAUACCAGAAUUCAUAUAGAAACAAAAACAAAACAAAAGCACGAGCCAGAUUUCAGGUGAACAAAAACAAAUCAAAUAAUGAUUUCAGAAAUCGGUGGUCAUCACUUACAUUCAAGCUGAUUUGAUCUCGAUUCCAAACUGAAGAGGAUACCGCGAGCUGCAAGGCUGUGACCGGUGAGGACUGAGGCGGCGACGGGGACGACCGGCUGGAGUAGCGGACUUGAUCUCGAUGACCGGCGACGAGACUUGAUCGGUGAACACAGAAUGAAAUCAACCGAGGCCGUGACCGUUGAGGACUGAGGCGGCGACGGGGACGACCGGCUGGAGUAGCGGAGUUGAUCUCGAUGACCGGCGACGAGACUCGAUCGGUGAACACAUAAUGAAAUUGACCGAUGGUUUUUUAGGAGAAAAUAGAACGACGGAGGUAGGGAGUCGGGAAUGGCCAAAAGGGAUUUGGACUUUGGAUGAAUAACGUGUGAUAAUAAUAAAAGAUACUGGCCAUUAUUUGUUCAAUAAAUUUUCGGGAAAUCGGGUAUACCCGAAACCCAAAAUAUUUACCCUUUACCCGACCCCAAAAAAAAUCGGGUUACCCAAAUACCCGAAAAAUGUUACCUGAUACCCGAUUUACCCUACCCGUUUUACCCGAUACCCGAAAAAAUCGGGCGGGUAAUUCAGGUAACGGGUAUUUUUGAAAGGGCAACUUUGUAGUUAAUUAUUUGACAAAUAUUGAUAACAUUAGUUAAACGGCUAUACCAUCCAUUUAAAUAGUUGACACGAGCUCGCCUCAGUUUAUAGUCAUAUAUCUAGCUCAUUUGUGAUUUUAAGGUCGUUUGUAAUUAUUUGAUAUUGGAUAUUUAAGUAUUUAGUUAAAAUUUAAUAUAGAAAAUUAAAAAUAUAUUCAUAUUAUAUAAAUAUGCAUAUGCUCGUUUAGGUUCGUGAGCUUAAUCGAGCUCGGCAUACGAAGCUCGGGUUUGAGCUCGUCUAAUAAAUGAGCUUGAAACUAAUUUCGAACUCGUCUAACUUCUAAUCAAGGUUUUUACUAGUCGGUCUAUAAUACUUCUGUUCGUUUAACCCUAAGUUCAACAUUCAUACAUUCAUGAAUAUAGUUAAAAGACAUUUAAUAUACUAAACUGAAAAGAAAAAAAUUAAAAUAGCCAAAUAUAAUGACCAUACAUAUUAACCCAUAAUGAUGUGGUGUGUGGCUUGGCCACCGCGGUAGGUCUAUGUGGUUGCGAUGCACUGCAACGAACACCGUCCCCUGUAAAAGUAUUUUGAUGUCCAUAUUUGUACUUUAAAAGUGGCUACGAGUAUCUAAUGGGUGAGAGAAACAUUUCAUCAUUUCCUCAAUGAAAUGAGAAGUAAAGUAACACACUGAACUAACAAUCAAU
rnacentral:lncRNA from 1 species